CCUACGGGGGGCAGCAGUGAGGAAUAUUGGUCAAUGGACGAGAGUCUGAACCAGCCAAGUAGCGUGAAGGAUGACUGCCCUAUGGGUUGUAAACUUCUUUUAUAUGGGAAUAAAACGUUCCACGUGUGGGAUUUUGUAUGUACCAUAUGAAUAAGGAUCGGCUAACUCCGUGCCAGCAGCCGCGGUAAUACGGAGGAUCCGAGCGUUAUCCGGAUUUAUUGGGUUUAAAGGGAGCGUAGGUUGAUUGUUAAGUCAGUUGUGAAAGUUUGCGGCUCAACCGUAAAAUUGCAGUUGAAACUGGCAGUCUUGAGUACAGUAGAGGUGGGCGGAAUUCGUGGUGUAGCGGUGAAAUGCUUAGAUAUCACGAAGAACUCCGAUUGCGAAGGCAGUUCACUGGACUGCAACUGACACUGAGGCUCGAAAGUGUGGGUAUCAAACAGGAUUAGAUACCCCUGUAGUC
rnacentral:rRNA from 1 species